AAUUGUCACCAUCCAUCUACCGAUAUUAAACCCAAGGAGAUUGUUAAGCACUGUCAAGCUUUCAUCUUCUCCCUUGUAACCCAUCAUCUACUGCAUUACAAUCCCAGGCUUUCAAUGUGCCCAGAACGGUUUAGCCGGAGUGCGCUUCAGUGCCUUCACUGCCAAAGGAUUGCCCUUGCUCUGCCAAACAAACAACUGUUAAAAACUUCAAUUGAAACAAAUAGAAUGAAAGGAUUGAUGACUUUGGACUCAAGCGUACCAUCAAGCAGGUGCCUUCAUGUAUGUUGCACACAGGGUAGUCAUGAGGGCAGCAGCUGUAGCGAUCUUCGCAGCAAGUGGCAGCCUCGAGUGGGCAGCAUCCCCAAGCAAAGCAGUAGUUAUAGUACUCGUAUAUGCAGCAGCAGGUAUUGCUCUCGGGACAGGAAUAAUAACUAUCGCACACGGUCGGAGGUUUUAUAGGAGAUGGUGGAGACGGUCCGGGAUUGGGGGGAUUUUCACCUGUUUUGAUCGGAUAAGAGGCUUCCAUCGCGAUCCCACAUUUGCCAGUUACGGUAUUGGCCACAUUCCUUGCCAUCCUGAUAUAGCCUGCUUCUCCCCAGCUGCUUCCCCAUGAGUUCUUUACAAUCCAAUAGUCUUUACCUUUCUCUGUGCCAUAUCCAACAGCAGUGACACCGUGGUCUAGUUGUGUUCCACAUUUUCCAUCAAAUAUACCCUGGAAAAAACCGUAAAAAUGUCAUUUAUCGGACAGUGCUCGGACUUUGAUAAUCCAGUUGUGGUCUUGCAGCAACUAGUAAUUUUGAUGGAUGCAGAAUCUUACUGAUUGAUAUAACUGGAAACUCCUUCCUCCUGCCUCAAUGGCAACGCUCACCGGUUGAUUCGCGACUGCCUUUUUCAAUGCUUUCUCGUCAUUUACCGGAACAUCCUCAUAAUCAUUGAUCGAAACAACUUUAGCAUUUUUCUGCAAGGUGAUUAAAAACACCAAGAUUCAGCAAGGAAAUUGAAAUUCUAUCUUUGUUCCUUUCCCAACUCUAAAAAUAAGAAACCUACCCGGUAUGGGUCACAUGUACCGUCAUGAGCGGUGUAAGGGUAAUCUUCUUCGGUGUCAAUGCCACCAUUUUUGAUGAUGAAUUCAAAGGCAUAAUCCAUGAGACCCCCAUUGCAACCUUCAUUGUAAGAUGUAUCACAAUCCACCAACUCCUGCUCAGAUAGUGAAAGGAGUUCGCCUGUAACAAUCUGGUUUAUCCCUUCCACAGCAGCAAUAGUCGAGAAAGCCCAGC
rnacentral:lncRNA from 1 species